rnacentral:rRNA from 1 species
UACGAAGGGCGCUAGCGUUGUUCGGAUUUACUGGGCGUAAAGGGCGCGUAGGCGGAUUUUUAAGUCGGGGGUGAAAUCCCGGAGCUCAACUCCGGAACUGCCUUCGAUACUGAAAGUCUGGAGCACGGUAGAGGUGAGUGGAAUUCCGAGUGUAGAGGUGAAAUUCGUAGAUAUUCGGAGGAACGCCAGUGGCGAAGGCGGCUCACUGGACCGUUGCUGACGAUGAGGCGCGAAAGCGUGGGGAGCAAACAGG